rnacentral:rRNA from 1 species
CUAGUUGGUGAGGUAACGGCCCACCAAGGCGACGAUCGGUAGCUGGUCUGAGAGGAUGAUCAGCCAGACUGGGACUGCGAAACGGCCCAGACUCCUACGGGAGGCAGCAGUUAGGAAUUUUGGGCAAUGGGCGCAAGCCUGACCCAGCAACGCCGCGUGGGUGACGAAGGCCUUCGGGUUGUAAAGCCCUUUUCUCAGGGACGAUGAUGACGGUACCUGAGGAAGAAGCACCGGCUAACUACGUGCCAGCAGCCGCGGUAAUACGUAGGGUGCGAGCGUUGCCCGGAUUUAUUGGGCGUAAAGGGCGCGCAGGCGGCCCGCCGCGUCCCGCGUGAAAGCCCCCGGCUCAACUGGGGGAUGUCGCGGGAAACGGGCGAGCUAGAGCGAGGGAGGGGGCAGUGGAAUUCCCGGUGUAGUGGUGGAAUGCGUAGAGAUCGGGAGGAACACCAGUGGCGAAGGCGACUGCCUGGCCCUCUAGCUGACGCUGAGGCGCGAAAGCGUGGGGAGCGAUCCGGAUUAGAUACCCGGGUAGUCCACGCCGUAAACGAUGUCGACUAGGUGUCGGGGGUAUCGACCCCCUCGGCGCCGGAGCUAACGCAUUAAGUCGACCGCCUGGGGACUACGGCCGCAAGGCUAAAACUCAAAGGAAUUGACG